AUGAGUUAGGGUCCUCUGGGCCCGACCUCCCAACCCUUUGUUUACUCAACCUUUGUUGCUUCGGCGGGCCCGUCUCCAUCGACCGCCGGAGGACCGCCGAAAGGUCGUCCUCUGGCCAGUGCCCGCCGGUAGCCUUUACCCGAAACUCUUAACUGAAACGUGGUCAUGAUGUCUGAGUGAUUGAUGAAUUAAAUCUUCAAAACAUAA
rnacentral:misc_RNA from 1 species